UUCGCACUGGAGUUAUUCCUUUGACAUCCAUCUAAUAGGUUCAAUGACGUGUUAUAUUACCCAAAACCGAGCUACGACCUCGACUAAUGAAGUAGCACCAGGCUCCUCCAAAGAGCGAUAAGUUGCGACGAAUGUUUGGGGGCCUGCUGCCCCCAUGCAUGACGCCGACGAUUUUUUCCACGAUGAUGUGAUGUUAAAUGGUCCGUCAAAGCCCGAAACCAUGCAACCUAAAAGUCCACUCGUUCAAACCCAAAUAUCUCUUUUAUAUGAGGUUGUAUAAUAAGACGUUUGUCUAUAAAAUUAUCAAAUACAAUUUGGUUGUAAGCAGCCUUCAUUUCCAUCAAUCUUUCGGUCUCCAAUGCUGUGCCAGAUAAACAGGAUAGCAAAUGCUGAAACUUACCGAUUGAAGUCAACUCUGAUUCCUUAUUAAUUAACGUUUCAAUUUCGUCAAACAUAUGAUGACAACAUUAUGAUGACGCGAUGCUGUCACUUGUAAAUUGGACAGCCCCUGAAGUUUUCCACGUAGUUACCGUGGCAGUUAAUGCAUUUUUCCUUUUUUGGGUCUUCUUUGUUGACAGGUAGUUAACCGAAUUGUGGAAGUCUUCAUAAGCUACAGAGUCUGUUUGAAGUGAACAGUAUGUCCUGGUGUGUCCAUACUCCUGACAAUUUUUGCACUGCUCUGGGCUGUUCCUUUUAUGUGGCUUUUCCACGUUAAAUCUUCGGUGCAAUAAGUAUUGAAGGUUAUGGGGGCACUUCAUAUGAUGGGAGAGCUUCUUUCCGUUAUUAACAGCCCUUAAGGCUCAAUAACCACCUCAAUAAUUAAGGAGCUUUCGCUGGAGUUGACUUGAUGGAGCUAUGCGCUCUUUAUUCAUAUAAAAAUCAAACUGAAAUUUAUAAGCUGUACCAUGGCUAAACGUGGCCGGCAGCUGACCGCUUGUCAUACAAAAAUGCGGACACUAGUAGAAAAUACAUAACUCGCCAUGCCAAGAACCAGGCACGGCCACUAAAGGCGUCUUAUGCUGAGUCUGAUCAUUAGGGCACUAGGGUGAUCCGAGAAAGCAGCGCACAAGACUGAAAGCAGUCCUAAUAAGUAGCAGGCAGAAAGUGGAGACGGCUGCUAUUAAACUUUGACAAGACAGGUAGGACCGCGGCCGCAAAUUAUGGUAAACACUUGGGGACCAGGUCGUAGAUUACUGGUUUGCGUCAACGCUGAUGUACGCUGUUCCCAUAUAAGCCCGAGCUGAAAUCGGCACCACACCCACCGCAUUUGUAAAAGAAUGAUUCCAGUUACACAGCCCAGCUAAUAGCGUUCGUGACGCGGAAACACUAAUAAGUCGAAAGAAAAAUGAUACAGAAAUCUUCCCUUCUUGUAAAAAAUAUAAGUUGAUUAAAAACUUUAUAGAAGUAGGGUCGGUUGGUCUAAUUUUAUAUAUAUAUAUAAAUAUAUUAUUCAAAAAUGCCUCGAGGGAGUUAAUAGUCUCCCUAGUCUAGUCUUCCAGAAACCUUAAACAAUAUAAUCUGAUAGGUUCAUAGUUUUUUCUUGUUCUCGUUCAUUAUUUAAACUUAUUAUUUAUUUUAUAUUUGGUUUUGUACAAAUUUUUUGAUUGUUUCGGAGCAGCGUUGCCGAUCCGAGCUUGAAGAAGGUUCUUCUCAAGCGCAAUAUACUUAGGAGCUAAAAGUUCUAAGUCUCGUAGCGGCGCUACCAACAGCGGCAGCGGAAAGACGGCCUAUGUAUUCUUCAGUAUAUAACUAUGCUCACUUAGUCUGGAGCGCGGAGGUAUAUGCACAUACAUGACGUCAGCUCGUGUUGCAAUUAU